CCUACGGGAGGCAGCAGUGAGGAAUAUUGGUCAAUGGGCGGAAGCCUGAACCAGCCAAGCCGCGUGAGGGAAGAAGGUACAGUGUAUCGUAAACCUCUUUUGUCAGGGAACAAAGGCGGGGACUAGUCUCCGGAUGAGGGUACCUGAAGAAAAAGGAUCGGCUAACUCCGUGCCAGCAGCCGCGGUAAUACGGAGGAUGCAAGCGUUAUCCGGAUUUAUUGGGUUUAAAGGGUGCGUAGGUGGUUGAUUAAGUCAGCGGUGAAAGUUUGUGGCUCAACCAUAAAAUUGCCGUUGAAACUGGUUGACUUGAGUGUAGUUGAGGUAGGCGGAAUGCGUGGUGUAGCGGUGAAAUGCAUAGAUAUCACGCAGAACACCGAUUGCGAAGGCAGCUUACUAAGCUAUAACUGACACUGAAGCACGAAAGCGUGGGGAUCAAACAGGAUGAGAUACCCGGGUAGUC
rnacentral:rRNA from 1 species